rnacentral:rRNA from 1 species
AUGCUUAACACAUGCAAGUCGAUUCGAUUUACCUUCGGGUAUUGAGGAUGGCGGACGGGUGAGUAACGCGUAAGGAACUUGCCUCUUGGACUGGGACAACUGUUGGAAACGACAGCUAAUACCGGAUAUUAUGAGAUUCUCGCAUGGGAAACUUAUGAAAGCUAUAUGCGCCAAGAGAGAGCCUUGCGUUCCAUUAGCUAGUUGGUGGGGUAAUGGCCCACCAAGGCGACGAUGGAUAGCCGGCCUGAGAGGGUGAACGGCCACAAGGGGACUGAGACACGGCCCUUACUCCUACGGGAGGCAGCAGUGGGGAAUAUUGGACAAUGGGCCACAAGCCUGAUCCAGCAAUUCUGUGUGCACGAUGAAGGUCUUCGGAUCGUAAAGUGCUUUCAGUUGGGAAGAAGAAAGUGACGGUACCAACAGAAGAAGCGACGGCUAAAUAC